GUAGUCUCGCACAGAUGCAUAUCAAUAAGCGGAGGAAAAGAAACUAACAAGGAUUCCCUUAGUAACGGCGAGUGAAGCGGGAAGAGCUCAAAUUUGAAAUCUUGCAAGGUUUACCUUUCACGAAUUGUAGUUUAAAGAAGUGUUUUCUGUUACGAUUUGGUAAUAAGUUCUUUGGAAUAGGACAUCAUAGAGGGUGAGAAUCCCGUAUAUUGACCAUUGGAUUUGUCAGCUGUGUGAUACACUUUCAAAGAGUCGGGAUUGUUUGGGAAUGCAGUCCAAAAUGGGAUGGUAAAUUUCUAUCUAAGGCUAAAUAUUGGCGAGAGACCGAUAGCGAACAAGUACCGUGAGGGAAAGAUGAAAAGAACUUUGAGAAGAGAGUUAAAUAGUACGUGAAAUUGUCAAAAGGGAAGCGUUUAACACCAGUGUUGUUUUCUGAAAAUCAACCUCUGUUAGCUUUAUGCAUGUUUGUUUAGACCUAAUCAGCUAUCUUGCAUGUUCUAUUGUUUGCAGUGGUGCACUUUUCAGUUUACAGGUCAACAUCAGUUCUUUUUUACCGUAAAAAAGUUAGAGAAAGGUAGCUCAUGGCUCCGGUCGUGAGUGUUAUAGUCUUUUUCCUAUGCGGUAGGAGAGACUGAGGUCUGCAGUGUAGGCUAUUUGGCUAGAUACUCAGGUGCUAUGUGAUACCAUUUCAUAAACAACUUGUUGAUUAUGUUUUGUCUAUUGCAUACUCGCUUGUACUAUCAUACCUACGCUUAGGAUGUUGAAGAUGUAGCACAUCAU
rnacentral:rRNA from 1 species